CAGCUGCAGGGGAUGACACCAAAGAUGCAAGCACUGAGUUCACUGACAGUAUUGAGGAGGCCGCACACCAUAGUCACCAGCAACUCAUCAAGGUGGCUUUGGAGAAAAGUCUGGCAAUUGUGGAGACCCAGAACCCAUCUUUUUCCCCUCCUUCCCCGAUGGGAGGGGACAGUAACAGGUGUCUUCAAGGAAGAAAUGCUCCACCUGAGGGCUGAGAUCCACCAGCACUUAGAAGAGAAGAGGAAAGCUGAGGAGGAACUGAAGGAGCUAAAGGCUCAAACUGAGGAAGCAAGAUUCUCCUCAGUGUCCCACAUCAGCAGGUGAAUCCUUGGUGAAGCAGGACAGCAAGCAGGUCCAGGUGAACCUCCAGGACCUGGGCUAUGAGACUUGUGGCUGAAGCGAGAAUCAGGCUGAACAGGAGGAAACCACCAGU
rnacentral:lncRNA from 1 species